rnacentral:rRNA from 1 species
UACGAAGGGGGCUAGCGUUGUUCGGAUUUACUGGGUGUAAAGCGCACGUAGGCGGAUUGUUAAGUCAGGGGUGAAAUCCUGGAGCUCAACUCCAGAACUGCCUUUGAUACUGGCAAUCUUGAGUCCGGAAGAGGUGAGUGGAACUCCUAGUGUAGAGGUGGAAUUCGUAGAUAUUAGGAAGAACACCAGUGGCGAAGGCGGCUCACUGGUCCGGUACUGACGCUGAGGUGCGAAAGCGUGGGGAGCAAACAGG